rnacentral:rRNA from 1 species
GACGAACGCUGGCGGCGUGCUUAACACAUGCAAGUCGAACGGUAAGGCUCCAGCUUGCUGGGGUACACGAGUGGCGAACGGGUGAGUAACACGUGGGUGACCUGCCCUGCACUUCGGGAUAAGCCUGGGAAACUGGGUCUAAUACCGGAUAGGACCGCACCGUGAGGGUGUGGUGGAAAGUUUUUUCGGUGUGGGAUGGGCCCGCGGCCUAUCAGCUUGUUGGUGGGGUAAUGGCCUACCAAGGCGGCGACGGGUAGCCGGCCUGAGAGGGUGGACGGCCACAUUGGGACUGAGACACGGCCCAGACUCCUACGGGAGGCAGCAGUGGGGAAUAUUGCACAAUGGGCGGAAGCCUGAUGCAGCGACGCCGCGUGGGGGAUGACGGCCUUCGGGUUGUAAACUCCUUUCACCAUCGACGAAGGGUUUCUGACGGUAGAUGGAGAAGAAGCACCGGCUAACUACGUGCCAGCAGCCGCGGUAAUACGUAGGGUGCGAGCGUUGUCCGGAAUUACUGGGCGUAAAGAGCUCGUAGGUGGUUUGUCGCGUCGUCUGUGAAAUUCCGGGGCUUAACUCCGGGCGUGCAGGCGAUACGGGCAUAACUUGAGUACUGUAGGGGAGACUGGAAUUCCUGGUGUAGCGGUGAAAUGCGCAGAUAUCAGGAGGAACACCGGUGGCGAAGGCGGGUCUCUGGGCAGUAACUGACGCUGAGGAGCGAAAGCAUGGGGAGCGAACAGGAUUAGAUACCCUGGUAGUCCACGCCGUAAACGGUGGGCGCUAGGUGUGGGUUUCCUUCCACGGGAUCCGUGCCGUAGCUAACGCAUUAAGCGCCCCGCCUGGGGAGUACGGCCGCAAGGCUAAAACUCAAAGGAAUUGACGGGGGCCCGCACAAGCGGCGGAGCAUGUGGAUUAAUUCGAUGCAACGCGAAGAACCUUACCUGGGCUUGACAUAUACAGGAUCGCGCCAGAGAUGGUGUUUCCCUUGUGGCUUGUAUACAGGUGGUGCAUGGUUGUCGUCAGCUCGUGUCGUGAGAUGUUGGGUUAAGUCCCGCAACGAGCGCAACCCUUGUCUUAUGUUGCCAGCACGUUGUGGUGGGGACUCGUAAGAAACUGCCGGGGUUAACUCGGAGGAAGGUGGGGAUGACGUCAAAUCAUCAUGCCCCUUAUGUCCAGGGCUUCACACAUGCUACAAUGGUCGGUACAGUGGGUUGCCAGUCCGUGAGGGCGAGCUAAUCCCGCAAAGCCGGUCUCAGUUCGGAUCGGGGUCUGCAACUCGACCCCGUGAAGUCGGAGUCGCUAGUAAUCGCAGAUCAGCAACGCUGCGGUGAAUACGUUCCCGGGCCU